UGAAAUACACUGUAGCAUCCCACAAGGAGAAGGCUAAUUUGGUAAUGUAAUUGAUUUUAUAAUUUAGUUCAGAAUAAUUCCUGUCACCCUUGAAGGCUGCAGUUCUUAAUGGCUUGCCUGUAGACCAUCCCUAGGAAGCAAGGCUUUAAGAAUGAUGUUCUGUGGAGAACUAAAGCAAGGAGGGAUUAAACCCACAUGAUGGAGAGACAUCAGACUUCAAACCUUUUUAAAAAGUAGAUAAUUCUUCUUUGAGUUCUUUUAAGAAAUGAUGCUUGGGUAGAUCAGUAACACAGUAAGUAUUGAGAGAGGGCAAAGAUGGGUCAGAUUUAGUAAGAUGCAAGUUGGAUGCAAACAGAGUUUCUUUUUGAAUGUUCAUUUCAGUUCUCUGACGUGUGAUAUGAGUGCCGAUUUACUGUUUGUGUUUUAACUUUCAGAGCUAUCCUGAAAAGUAUCAUGGCAAAGUGUGUUUGAAAGCAGACCAUUUGCACGAUAAAUAAUCUGAAGGCUGGAUUCAGUCAGCUCCAGCCUUGUCAUAGGCAAGGUCUUCAUAGCCCUGCUGAUUUCAGUGAAUGCUGAACCCAGUGCUGGCUGCUCUGUGGUCUGUGUGUCACAGAGCUCUGGUGUGGCUGCUCUUACCUGUCCUGAACCUUGUUGGGAACAAGGAAGCACCUCUAGAGGUCCCUAUUGUACUGCAAAUCCAGGAAACUGCUUGGGACUCCUCCUUUAUGACCCAGUUAAGGAACAAACAGAAAAAAGUGCAGGGCUUGCAUAAGACUGUCAGGCACUAUUGAACAGAGACAUUUGUGUUUAUCUGCCUACCUGGUAAGGGAAAGGUAAGCAAUUUUUAUGCUUCAAAUGCCUCUCAUAUCUCCCCAAGGGCAUUUAGUUAUCUUGCUCCUUGGCUGGAGGUACAGUUGUAGUGGGUGUAAGUUACAGCUUCCUCCUGCUCUAUCUGCAAAGCAAUCUGGAUCCCAGCUGAGUUCAUAGUGCAGUAUGCAGUGAUCUACUUUAGAACAAGUAGGGUCAGGACUUCACAGUGCUUCCUUUGCCCCUUGUUUUAAAUUAAACAAGUUCCUGAUGAUUUCCUUUACAGCUUACAUCUAUUUCAGGUGUGGCUGUCACUGUUCCAGUGAUGAUACUGAUGGGUUAGAGGGGCAUAACACAGGCCUGACGUUUUCAGGUGCAGUAGGGAUGACGCCAGAGCAGUCUGUGCCACUCACAGGAGCAGAG
rnacentral:lncRNA from 1 species